rnacentral:rRNA from 1 species
GACGAACGCUGGCGGCGUGCUUAACACAUGCAAGUCGAACGGAAAGGCCCUGCUUUUGUGGGGUGCUCGAGUGGCGAACGGGUGAGUAACACGUGAGUAACCUGCCCUUGACUUUGGGAUAACUUCAGGAAACUGGGGCUAAUACCGGAGAGGAUCUCCUGCUGCAUGGUGGGGGAUGGAAAGUUUCGGCGGUUGGGGCUCGACUCGCGGCUUAUCAGCUUGUUGGUGGGGUAGUGGAUUACCCAGGCUUUGACGGGUAGCCGGCCUGAGAGGGUGACCGGCCACAUUGGGACCGAGAUACGGCACAGACUCCUACGGGAGGCAGCAGUGGGGAAUACUGCACGAGGGGCGGAAGGCUGGUGCAGCAAGGCCGCGUGUCGUAUGACGGCCUUCGGGUUGUAAACCGCAUUCGCCUGUGACGAAGCGUGAGUGACGGUAAUGGGUACAGAAGCCCCGGCUAACUACGUG